AGCUGAACUCCCAUAUCAGAGAUCUUAGGCCCUACGGCACUCUACGGUGACCUGACUGACCCUAGCUCAGAAUUUUCAGGCUAGGUGAAUGGAUGCCUGGAGAGGACAUUCCACCCCAAGCUGAGGCACUGGACCAGGUGACCUUCUGAUCCUGCAAGCCAUCAGUUCAAGCCAUCAGCUCUCAGCCAAUGUUUCCCAAGCAUCCGACACCCAGGGGAUUCAAAGAUGGAUGAGAGUGAGAGGAGGAAUGCGUGUGAGUCCUCAGCAUGGGGAUGGAGAAGUUUUCAGCUUCUGGGUUCAAAUCCUGGCUCUACCAUCUACCAGCUGUAUGACUUUGAGAUUGGAAACUUCCUGAGACCUCCCCAGAAGCUGAUGCCACCAUGUUUGCUGUGCAGCCUACAGAACCGUGAGCCAAUUAAACCUCUUUUCUUUAUAAAUGACCCAGUCUCAGGUAUUUCUUUCUGGCAAU